rnacentral:rRNA from 1 species
GAUAAACGCUGGCGGCGUGCUUAACACAUGCAAGUCGAACGAAGUUUUUCCUUCGGGAGCAACUUAGUGGCGGACGGGUGAGUAACGCGUGGGUAACCUGCCCUGUACAGGGGGACAACAGCUGUAAACGGCUGCUAAUACCGCAUAAGCCCUUAGCACUGCAUGGUGCAUAGGGAAAAGGAGCAAUCCGGUACAGGAUGGACCCGCGUCGGAUUAGCCAGUUGGCAGGGUAACGGCCUACCAAAGCGACGAUCAGUAGCCGAUCUGAGAGGAUGUACGGCCACAGUGGGACGGAGACACGGCCCAGACUCCUACGGGAGGCAGCAGUGGGGAAUAUUGCACAAUGGAGGAAACUCUGAUGCAGCGACGCCGCGUGAGUGAAGAAGUAUUUCGGUAUGUAAAGCUCUAUCAGCAGGGAAGAAAAUGACGGUACCUGACUAAGAAGCACCGGCUAAAUACGUG